UUCUGAGGUCUGAUGUGGUGAAAUGUUUUCUCUGUGUCCCUCAGGGCUGCUGAAUCCCUUCCAAAAGUCAAAAGAAUGCAACUCUUUUGGAUCCAACAUCUCUCCUGAUCUCCAAACUGCUCCAGAAAGGGCAAAGUUGCACAGGGUCGAGCACUCUGUCUUUGUACUGCAUUGCCAAGCGGGGUGUGAACCCAUAUCUAUCUCUCGGCUUCAUCCAACUGAUUGCUACUCACUAAACAGGUGGAAGGCAGUAAUGAAUGUUUGCUGAAGGAUUCAUCCGUCUCCAUCAGUGUGAGCAGGAGGUGACAGUUGCGGCAGCCACCCCGACACUUGGGACCCGGCUGCCGUUCCUUCCCGCUGUGCCGGAUUGAAGUUUAGACCUGUCUGCGUGGCCCUACGCCCGUCUGACGCAGAGCGGUUGUGUAAGUCCCCCCCGUCAUUCUUGCCACAACGGAGAUGUUGGCAUUCCUGGGGAUGAAACACUGGGUGCGGUCAGUGGAGGGACAACGCGUGGACAGUGUGCGUGGACAGCAUACCGCCGUUCACCGAUGCAGCCAUCAGAGUAACAGGAGCCAGUGGCACUUGAGAAGUCUCUGUCCCAGUCUUCCACAUGUCUUUCAGAUCCUGUAAUCCAUAAAGUUCCCUGAACUGUCAGUGCUCUCGGCGUCCUCGGUGUUCACUCGCUACUGCAUUUUGUGUGUCUUCUGCACUCUAUUUUGAAGCAGCCUUCUGCUUUGUAGAACCCAUCAGCACCCCACAACACACUCUACACAGCUCCUGGUCCAGACUAUAGUAAUGUCCCACCCUGACUACUUUAGCAUCCACAUAUGUCUUGUUUCCUGGCCUCCUCCAUCAAACGUCUCCAGAUGAUCUAGGACACCACUGGAACACUCACAAAGGGUUGAGAAAUGGAUCAGCGCUUUUGGUUUUGUUCCCAGUGUGGAGGAAUGAGCUCCCUUUGUCCCUCAGGGGUACUGAAUCUCUCCCCAUCACCCAUCUCACACCCAUCACUUUCAGAGCCAUUUCUCUCCUGAUCCCCUGACAGCUAUAGAAAUGAGUCCAACACCAUCUGCUAUGAUUAUUUAUGUAUUUGCUGUCAAAAUCUCUCUUCCAUAGACAGCAACUUGUGGAAUGUGAACCAGCAACAUGUGGUAUCAGACAAACUGUGUCGAUAAUCCUGCGUCUAGAGCUUAUCAUUUGUGGUUGAUGCAACCGGUUUAUUCAGAGUUGUACAUGACUUAGGAGAAAAGUGUCAAUGAAAUGAAAAUAAAUGUAACAGAGGUUCACCAUGGAGACCCGCAGUAAGACAGGCUGCUGCAACAGCUACAGAGACGACAUCUCCCCCUCAGCGUUCGCUGAGCCAAAGCCCAACGCAUCUCCUCCACAGACGGGUCAGUUCCCUCAUUAUCUGCGAGGUGUUCUGGAGUCUCUCAUGACACUAUCUGGUGAAUUAUUGAAUCUGCACACCCAAGGACAAGGGAGACGAAACUCAUUAAUAUGCCUAAUUUACUGAAUACAUUAAUCAAGUCGCCCCUCUGUCUUUUUGCGGUGGCCGUCGCCACCGAAAGUGACAUCAGUCAAGUGUGGAGCCUCAGGGGAGCUCAGGAGGCCCAUUGCAGUAGAUCACAGGGCAACGGGUUCUCAUGUUUGUGAGUUCAGUAACCCCCACCCCAGCCCUAUAAAAGCCAUCUAUUCAAUUGUUUUUCCGUUGCUUCAACAGACGCUUUUUUAUGCAAUGACACAUUUCAAUGACAGUUAAUAUUGCACGUAUACGUGGUGAUAAAUAUGAGUUAAUGGAAAUGUGUAACAAGUGCAGCCCGGUAGCGCUGAUGGCCCCGGUUGUUCCACCACAAGCUGUGAUGUUAAUGAUGAUCAGGAGGGGUGAUGAGCCCCCUUCCGGCCAGACUGCACGAGCCUUUGGCUUAAACUGAAUAUACAUCGGUCAGCACUUAUACGUGGGUCCUCUAAAGGUGCGAGGACUUGAAAUGAUGACCUGGUGAUGAGCAGGAGAUGAGCUGGUAAACUGCUGUGAACUGCUGCUGCAACUACAGGAGUCUGUGUCCUUCAUGAGAUGUUUCACAGUGCCCUUGAUUCACCCCACACUCUUGUCUGGUUACAGGUAGAAUUACACCCAGUAUCUCCAUAAGUAGGUCCUUCCUCACCUCGUCUGUCUUCCACUUAACCCUGGAAUGGAGUCCCGUAUGUUCAAAAUGGACCUGGGAGAUUCACAAAGAUUAACGAUGAACUCAAGGAGCGGUGAGGUUCUCAGAGAUCAAUGAUGAACCGAUGAAUUGGUGAUGCUCUCAAUGAUUAAAGAUGAACUCGAGGAUUAGUGAGUUUCUCCAAGAUUAAUCGUGAACUCAGGGAUUGGUGAUGUUGUCACAGAUUGAAGAUGAACCCAUUAAUUGUUUUCGAAGAUUAAUGAUGAGUCUAGUGCCUGGAACUCCCAGCACUCCACUCCCAGCAACUGGUCAGUUGAUUUUUUGUCUUUGGUCAUUAAGCUCAUGAGAACAAGUCAUCAAACUUCCUCCAUGCACCAAGUAGAGAGCAAGAGCAGGAAGUGAGCAUUUCCCACCACUGUUGCUGUUUACAGUGACCAACAUCCCAUCCAUCUUCCCAUUUAACAGCUACAGUCAGGAAGCCUGUGACCACACAGAGACCACAGUGAUCAGGGUGAGUAGCCUGAAGCUCGAUAUUUGGUUCUGCGAACGCUGGAGGGACCUGGCAGAUCAGCAAUGAACAGCGAUGAAUAAUAAUGCAAGAGUUUCUCAAGCUGGCCACACCCACUUCUUGGAGCCAUAACUGACAGGUGAUUGACAGUCUGUAGCAGGUCAGUUUUACAUUUCUGAAAUGCAACUGAUGAAGCCUUUUCUAGAUGUUACUAAGGGAAGCAACAUGUUGAUUAAGUCAGUGGUUUUCUCUCUAACGUUCUCUGUUUUUCUGAGACUUGUUUCCUUGGUAGGUGAGGAACCGAAUAUGCUCUGAACGGCCUGAGAUUAUGGUUUUGAAAAUGUGGGCAGAGUUUGGAUGAAAGCCGCUUCCGCUGUCUGGCGCAGGGGAGUCUCGCGAAAAAGCAGCUUUGCACCGAGUCCCCCCUCUCCGGUCGUCGCACCACGUUUCAUAACUGUGCUUCUCCUGGAGGGCAACACAGGGGGACUUCCUGUUACGAAGCUCCUAGGCUCCAUGGAUGGGUUGGCCUGGCUGCAGACCGACUAGUCUGAUUUUGUUGCCAUGACAAUGGCUUGAGCAGUCUUGGCGAGGCCUAUUCAGUGAUGUUGACCUUGAGACAUUUCCAUCUGGAAGGAGUGGUUUCGGGGCACCGCCUAUUCACGUGGUAACGAGACCUGUGUGUUUGAGCUGACUACCCAAUGCAAGAUCUGAUUUUUUUUCUUGUAAAUGUUUUGCAUUUACAUUUAAUGUACUAUUUACUAACAAAUUAUUUGGUGCCAAGCACUGAAGUCAUGUCUAAGAAGACACUCCCAGAAUGCAUGGACACAGAGUGGCCUAAUUUCCAGUCUGACAGAUCUUUUAUAAUCCGAUUACACAAGUGAUUUUGAAACACGGUUCUGUGGACUAAAUGCUAUGUCUGUAUGACAAUAUGGGGAAAUGAGACGAAGGCCACACUGUAUCGCCUAUUUUUUGUCCUGGGGUAGCAGUGUGUAAGAAAGUACUGAAGGGCACAAGUCGGGGGUGCUAGAGAGGUAAAGUUCUUGAUUGACAGUACUGUGUCCAAGGUUUUAAUUAAGGGAGGUAAUAAAGAGAAAUAAGCACAGUGCUGCGUCCGCACACGGGUCAUUCUUUUCAGCUCUGUUUACACUUGCACCAUCCCGGGACCUCUUUACGUCCACGGAUCGUCCCCCUGGAGUCAUAUUGUGUGGUUGUGAUGGUUCAAGGCCCCUUCCACUCGAUCCUAUAGCCAU